ACCAAAAAAAUGUCAUAGUAUAGUAAGGUAUGAAAAAUGGUCAAAAAAUGUCAUAGUAUAGUAAGGUGUCAAAAACCACCAAAAAAUGUCAUAGUAUAGUAAGGUAUGAAAAAUGGUCAAAAAAUGUCAUAGUAUAGUAAGGUGUCAAAAACCACCAAAAAAUGUCAUAGUAUAGUAAGGUGUCAAAAACCACCAAAAAAUGUCAUAGUAUAGUAAGGUAUGAAAAAUGGUCAAAAAAUGUCAUAGUAUAGUAAGGUAUGAAAAAUGGUCAAAAAAUGUCAUAAUAUAGUAAGGUGUCAAAAACCACCAAAAAAUGUCAUAGUAUAGUAAGGUAUGAAAAAUGGUCAAAAAAUGUCAUAGUAUAGUAAGGUGUCAAAAAUGGUCAAAAAAUGUCAUAGUAUAGUAAGGUGUCAAAAACGGUCAAAAAAUGUCAUAGUAUAGUAAGGUAUGAAAAAUGGUCAAAAAAUGUCAUAGUAUAGUAAGGUGUCAAAAACCACCAAAAAAUGUCAUAGUAUAGUAAGGUAUGAAAAAUGGUCAAAAAAUGUCAUAGUAUAGUAAGGUGUCAAAAACCACCAAAAAAUGUC